rnacentral:rRNA from 1 species
UUCCAGACUCCUACGGGAGGCAGCAGUGGGGAAUAUUGGACAAUGGACCAAGAGUCUGAUCCAGCAAUUCUGUGUGCACGAUGAAGUUUUUCGGAAUGUAAAGUGCUUUCAGUUGGGAAGAAAAAAAUGACGGUACCAACAGAAGAAGUGACGGCUAAAUACGUGCCAGCAGCCGCGGUAAUACGUAUGUCACAAGCGUUAUCCGGAUUUAUUGGGCGUAAAGCGCGUCUAGGUGGUUAUGUAAGUCUGAUGUGAAAAUGCAGGGCUCAACUCUGUAUUGCGUUGGAAACUGUGUAACUAGAGUACUGGAGAGGUAAGCGGAACUACAAGUGUAGAGGUGAAAUUCGUAGAUAUUUGUAGGAAUGCCGAUGGGGAAGCCAGCUUACUGGACAGAUACUGACGCUGAAGCGCGAAAGCGUGGGUAGCAAACAGGAUUAGAUACCCUGGUAGUCCACGCCGUAAACGAUGAUUACUAGGUGUUGGGGGUCGAACCUCAGCGCCCAAGCAAACGCGAUAAGUAAUCCGCCUGGGGAGUACGUACGCAAGUAUGAAACUCAAAGGAAUUGACGGGGGCCCGCACAAG